rnacentral:rRNA from 1 species
UACGUAGGGUGCGAGCGUUAAUCGGAAUUACUGGGCGUAAAGCGUUCGCAGGCGGUUUUGUAAGCCAGAUGUGAAAUCCCCGGGCUUAACCUGGGAAUGGCAUUUGGGACUGCAAGGCUUGAGUGCGGCAGAGGAGACUGGAAUUCCUGGUGUAGCAGUGAAAUGCGUAGAUAUCAGGAGGAACACCGAUGGCGAAGGCAGGUCCCUGGGCUGACACUGACGCUCAUGCACGAAAGCGUGGGGAGCAAACAGG